rnacentral:tRNA from 1 species
GAGGGUACAGCUGAGUGGUGGAGCGCAUGCCUAGCAUGCACAAGGUCCUGGGUUCAAUCCCCAGUACCUCCA